CUCAGGAACUAUUCGCCAUCAGUAACGGCUGUUGAAGGUUGAAAAAGAUGGACAUCUACAAAAAUAUAAAAGUUGGUGUAUACGGUGUCAAGGGUGGAACCCCAAGAGGCAAUGCCACUGAUCAAUCUGUUUGUGAACUGCCUCCAGCCCUUUAAAGGCAAAGGAGAUGGACUGUUCAGGUGGGAAUCAUUGUAAUCGAUAUUGUGAAUUGAGAAGGUGCAGAAGGAAUGUCAUCUCCUGGCCUUUGAGCGGUACUAGGAUAGAGCAGCAUCUUUCAGUAAAGGUGACACAUGGGUGCUAUCCAGUGACCUGAGAUGAAGACUGGACUCUUUCAGUACUCUGUAUCUUUGAAGGAUCCUUGGGUACCGCUGGUUUGACUGUGUUGAAUGAGCGGUUGCUCAUGGAGUCCUGAAUGAGACACAUUACCUGCAUUGUGAGGAAGCAUCAGUUAUUGCACUACAGCCAUGUGGCGCGAUUCCUAGAGGGUGAUCCGGUUUGUGGGAUCCUCAUUGUUGAGGACCGUGUGGCUGGACCAGGCCAAGGGGAUGCCAACAUAAUACCUGGCUGACUCAGAUAGAUGGUCAUUUCCAGAGAGUGGGACAGGACCGUGUGUCUGCCUGAGGGGUGGCCAACCAGGAUCCCGAGCUGUUUUGUCAUGUGGUGGGUGAGGCAACACGCUACCAGUGCAUGCUCCCCAACCUGACCUGACCUGAUACCUGUUGACACAUCUUUGACUUGAGACAGAGAGGAAUUCUCAGCUGGAAACUGAGAAGCUGUUUAAAGGGAAAUUUAUAAUUUGCCACUGGGACAUAAAGUGCUGUUUUAUGUGUCUAUGUUCACAGGGCUCUCAGUCCCAGGAUAUAUUUGACCACCUUGGAGGACAUCUGUAUCACCAACAUAAAAGUAUGAGAAGUUUGAACAAAUAAGAGAAAAGUAUUGAAUCUAUCCAUCUUGCUUCCCCAGGUUAUCAAAUAGUUAUGAUGCUGCAGCAUCUCUUCCAGAUACUUUCCAAAAGUCAUUAAUGUUCUUCUUCAACUAUGUGAUUUGUUAUAUUUUUUUCUAGAUUUCCAGAAUGUUUUAUGUAAAAAAACAACACUGGCCUUCUUUCUUAAAUUAAGUUCUCCUUAACUACCAUCUUUCACUCUGUGAUUCUUUUAUGAAAGAUGUCUAAUAGAUCAACUUAAUCGAUGACUUUGAAAAAUGUGAAUAUCUUCCACACACUGUUCUCUGUUCAAGACUAAGAGGUGUAAUUCUCCCAGCAUGUCACUGCAGAAUGAGCUCUUUAGCUCUGGUAUACAAUUUCCAACUCUUCUCUUUACAAACUCUAUGUCUGCUAUGUCCUUUUCAAUGCACGGUGACUAAAACUGUUCACAGCCCUAACUACCCCUUGAUUUAUGUUCAGUUUUUUUUUUAAAUAUAACCUAAGGUAUAUUUUGCCUUUUCUUUGCUCACUGUCUGGAGGAGGGGAGUGUUGCAUCAAGAGCAACUUGUAAAUACUUUUCAGAGGUUACUUCUAUAGAGCAGUAUUGCCCGCCUUGUAUUUAUGAUUAAUGCUGCUUUGUCCUGCUUGUAACACUUAGCAUUGUUCUGCAUUAAAGUGCAUUUUCAAUGUGUAUGCCACGUUUUGGAUAUUUUUUAGUCAUCU